UGACACUGUAGACGAUAUUACAUUCAAAUUAAAUGUCGACGCAUAAUACCGUGUUUGAAAUAUUAUCACGUCAUAACCGCGCCGUUAGUUAAGUUCCCGUGCUACACGUGUGACGCACCUACUGUUAUACACUAUGCUCUAAAAUAGUUAAAAACCAAAAAAACUAUACAAAGCGUAUAAAUUUCAAUAAAUUAUAACUACUCGUAUCUAACAAAUUCGAAAUUUUCUUGCGAUUAAUCAUAUUUUAAACACUUCGAACGUUUCGUUAUGGCCGUUUCAAUUUAAUUUCGGUAUAAUCUCGCAACGUCUAUUUCUACAUAAACAGUUUAAACCGCGGUGUAUAUAAUACAGUGACAGUCAAAAUACAUAAUAUACUAUAUCGACUAUUACAGACACAUAUGCAAAUGUGAAUAGUCAGAUGUAUCUAGUGUCUGUGCUACGAAAUACAUAAAUAAAUUUUAAAAUAAAACAUUCGUCUUUUGUUAAACAUUUUUCUGAAAAAUAUGACGUAGUCUU